rnacentral:rRNA from 1 species
GCUGGCGGCGUGCCUAAUACAUGCAAGUCGAGCGAGCGGAACUAACAGAUUUACUUCGGUAAUGACGUUAGGAAAGCGAGCGGCGGAUGGGUGAGUAACACGUGGGGAACCUGCCCCAUAGUCUGGGAUACCACUUGGAAACAGGUGCUAAUACCGGAUAAGAAAGCAGAUCGCAUGAUCAGCUUUUAAAAGGCGGCGUAAGCUGUCGCUAUGGGAUGGCCCCGCGGUGCAUUAGCUAGUUGGCAAGGUAAAGGCUUACCAAGGCGAUGAUGCAUAGCCGAGUUGAGAGACUGAUCGGCCACAUUGGGACUGAGACACGGCCCAAACUCCUACGGGAGGCAGCAGUAGGGAAUCUUCCACAAUGGACGCAAGUCUGAUGGAGCAACGCCGCGUGAGUGAAGAAGGUUUUCGGAUCGUAAAGCUCUGUUGUUGGUGAAGAAGGAUAGAGGUAGUAACUGGUCUUUAUUUGACGGUAAUCAACCAGAAAGUCACGGCUAACUACGUGCCAGCAGCCGCGGUAAUACGUAGGUGGCAAGCGUUGUCCGGAUUUAUUGGCGUAAAGCAAGCGCAGGCGGAAGAAUAAGUCUGAUGUGAAAGCCCUCGGCUUAACCGAGGAACUGCAUCGGAACUGUUUUUCUUGA